rnacentral:pre_miRNA from 1 species
ACGUGCCUGGCUCCCUGUAUGCCAUCUGCGGAGCUCAUCGAGAGCGAUGGGCAUCUGUGAAUGGCGUAUGAGGAGCCAAGCAUGU